rnacentral:pre_miRNA from 1 species
CUCUACAUAUAACUGCCUUCUUCACAUCAUUCAUGCUUUCUUUGAGUUGAGGCAUGAAUGAUGUAAAGGAGGCAGUCAUAUGUUGAG